GUGUAUGUAUGCUCUAUGUGCUGUGUGUGUGUGGUCUGUGUGUAAUGUGUAUAUGAGUGUGUGUGUGUGUGUGUGUGUGUGUGUGUGUUUGGGAUAUGAACACUGACUCUGUGGAUAAGAGACUGAAAUGAUACAAUCCAUAGUUAGUAAGAACAACAACAGGCAGAAGGACUCCUACAGGUGAUCCAGGUAGAGACUCCUACAGGUAACGCAG